AUACGAAGGGGGCUAGCGUUGUUCGGAAUUACUGGGCGUAAAGCGCGCGUAGGCGGACCGAUCAGUUAGGGGUGAAAUCCCAGGGCUUAACCCUGGAACUGCCUCUAAUACUGUCAGUCUUGAGUUCGGGAGAGGUGAGUGGAAUUCCUAGUGUAGAGGUGAAAUUCGUAGAUAUUAGGAAGAACACCAGUGGCGAAGGCGGCUCACUGGCCCGAUACUGACGCUGAGGCGCGAAAGCGAGGGGAGCAAACAGGAUUAGAUACCCUAGUAGUCC
rnacentral:rRNA from 1 species